UACGGAGGAUGCAAGCGUUAUCCGGAAUCAUUGGGCGUAAAGCGUCCGUAGGUGGUGACGCAAGUCUGCUGUCAAAGAGCAGGGCUUAACCCUGUAAAGGCGGUGGAAACUGCGUAACUAGAGUGUGGUAGGGGUAGAGGGAAUUCCCGGUGUAGCGGUGAAAUGCGUAGAGAUCGGGAAGAACACCAGUGGCGAAAGCGCUCUACUGGGCCAAAACUGACACUGAGGGACGAAAGCUAGGGGAGCGAAAGGG
rnacentral:rRNA from 1 species